rnacentral:tRNA from 1 species
UAUAUAAUGGUGUAUAGUGCAUAUAAAAUUUUGAUUUUUAAGGAAAAAGUGUAAUUCUUUUUUAUAUAA